rnacentral:rRNA from 1 species
GUGUCAGCCGCCGCGGUAAUACAGAGGGUGCAAGCGUUGUUCGGAAUUAUUGGGCGUAAAGCGCGUGUAGGCGGCCUAUCAAGUCAGAUGUGAAAGCCCUCGGCUUAACCGAGGAAGUGCGUCUGAAACUGAUGGGCUUGAGUGCCGGAGAGGAUGGCGGAAUUCCGCAAGUAGAGGUGAAAUUCGUAGAUAUGCGGAGGAACACCGGUGGCGAAGGCGGCCAUCUGGACGGCAACUGACGCUGAGACGCGAAAGCGUGGGGAGCAAACAGGAUUAGAUACCCCCGUAGUCC